GAGUUUGAUCCUGGCUCAGGACGAACGCUGGCGGCGUGCUUAACACAUGCAAGUCGAACGGUAAGGCCCCAGCUUGCUGGGGUACACGAGUGGCGAACGGGUGAGUAACACGUGGGUGACCUGCCCCGCACUUCGGGAUAAGCCUGGGAAACUGGGUCUAAUACCGGAUAGGACCGCACCGUGAGGGUGUGGUGGAAAGUUUUUCGGUGUGGGAUGGGCCCGCGGCCUAUCAGCUUGUUGGUGGGGUAAUGGCCUACCAAGGCGGCGACGGGUAGCCGGCCUGAGAGGGUGGACGGCCACAUUGGGACUGAGACACGGCCCAGACUCCUACGGGAGGCAGCAGUGGGGAAUAUUGCACAAUGGGCGGAAGCCUGAUGCAGCGACGCCGCGUGGGGGAUGACGGCCUUCGGGUUGUAAACUCCUUUCACCAUCGACGAAGGUUUUCUGACGGUAGAUGGAGAAGAAGCACCGGCUAACUACGUGCCAGCAGCCGCGGUAAUACGUAGGGUGCGAGCGUUGUCCGGAAUUACUGGGCGUAAAGAGCUCGUAGGUGGUUUGUCGCGUCGUCUGUGAAAUUCCGGGGCUUAACUCCGGGCGUGCAGGCGAUACGGGCAUAACUUGAGUACUGUAGGGGAGACUGGAAUUCCUGCUGUAGCGGUGAAAUGCGCCAGAUAUCAGGAGGAACACCGGUGGCGAAGGCGGGUCUCUGGGCAGUAACUGACGCUGAGGAGCGAAAGCAUGGGUAGCGAACAGGAUUAGAUACCCUGGUAGUCCAUGCCGUAAACGGUGGGCGCUAGGUGUAGGGGUCUUCCACGACUUCUGUGCCGUAGCUAACGCAUUAAGCGCCCCGCCUGGGGAGUACGGCCGCAAGGCUAAAACUCAAAGGAAUUGACGGGGGCCCGCACAAGCGGCGGAGCAUGUGGAUUAAUUCGAUGCAACGCGAAGAACCUUACCUGGGCUUGACAUAUACGGGACCGGGCCAGAGAUGGUCCUUCCCUUGUGGCUCGUAUACAGGUGGUGCAUGGUUGUCGUCAGCUCGUGUCGUGAGAUGUUGGGUUAAGUCCCGCAACGAGCGCAACCCUUGUCUUAUGUUGCCAGCACGUAAUGGUGGGGACUCGUGAGAAACUGCCGGGGUCAACUCGGAGGAAGGUGGGGAUGACGUCAAAUCAUCAUGCCCCUUAUGUCCAGGGCUUCACACAUGCUACAAUGGUCGGUACAGUGGGUCGCGAUGCCGUGAGGUGGAGCUAAUCCCUGAAAGCCGGUCUCAGUUCGGAUCGGGGUCUACAACUCGACCCCGUGAAGUCGGAGUCGCUAGUAAUCGCAGAUCAGCAACGCUGCGGUGAAUACGUUCCCGGGAACCUUGUACACACCGCCCGUC
rnacentral:rRNA from 1 species